AGAACGAACGCUGGCGGCGUGGAUAAGACAUGCAAGUCGAACGCCCAUUCCGGGGUAGCAAUAUUCCGAAGUGGGAGUGGCGAAAGGGUGCGUAACAUGUGGGUAAUCUGCCGUGAAGUUUGGGAUAACUCGCUGAAAGGCGAGCUAAUACUGGAUGUGACUGUCGGGUGGCAACGCUUGACUUUCAAAGCUGGGGACCGCAAGGCCUGGCGCUUUACGAUGAGCCCGCAACCUAUCAGCUAGUUGGUGAGGUAACGGCCCACCAAGGCUAAGACGGGUAGCUGGUCUGAGAGGACGACCAGCCACACUGGAACUGAGACACGGUCCAGACACCUACGGGUGGCAGCAGUCGAGAAUUUUUCACAAUGGGCGAAAGCCUGAUGGAGCGACGCCGCGUGGGGAUGGAAGGCUUCGGCCCGUAAACCCUGUCAUUUGUGAACAAUCGCUCACGACCUAACACGUCAUGAGUUGAUAGUAGCGAAAGAGGAAGGACGGCUAACUCG
rnacentral:rRNA from 1 species